UUUGUACUCCCUCCGUCCAACAAAGGAUGUCUCAAUUUUGACUAAAUUUGAAUGUAUCUAUACACUAAAUCACAUCUAGAUGCAUCCAAAUUUCAACAAACUUGAGACAUCUUUUGUUGGACGGAGGGAGUAAUUA
rfam:Brachypodium distachyon strain Bd21 chromosome 3, whole genome shotgun sequence.